GUUUAUAACCAUUCAGGAGGAAAAUAUGUUUAUAUGGAGUCACUAGUACACUGUAGUGAUAUACUUCACUUAUAAUUAAUUACAGAGGGAUUUUGCAUGUAUCUUAUUGGGUUCUGUGUUUCCUAAAAUAGAAUAAUCUAUGCUGAAAGUAAACUUAUCAGAUAUUUUAUUUUUGGUGCAUUCAUGUUUAGGAGUUGAUGCUCUGCUACUUGUGUUUUCACCAUGAGUAACUUGACUAAAUUCAACAUACUCUGUGGUAAUAAAGAAAAAAGCCAUUCAAAAGUGAAAAAUACCAACCUCUCCUUCUGUGCCACAAACUACUUUGGAUAAACCACACCCUUUCACUUAUAAUUGUCAGGCAUACUCAGAUUUUCAAUUAGAAUAGUUUUUUUGGUGGUAAACACUGCCUGCUGAGCUUUCCUUAACUGAAUAGAAUCACCACAUAGGUGGUUGGAAGAGAAGUUUUGAGGUCAUUGGCUCCACUCAAAGCAGGAUCAACUUAACUAGGUUAUUCAGUGCCUUGCCUGAUUGAGUUUUGGGUGGUGGUGAUGCCACAACUUCUCUGGGAAGCCUGUUCCACUGUUUGACCAUGAUGAAAGCAUUUUUCCGGCAAUCCAGCUGAAAUUUCCCAUGCUGCAAUUCAUGCUACCAAUGCUGUUAUUGUGCCCCAUAGAAGGGCUCAAUUCUUCCAGACCAUCCUAGAAGCAGUCAAAGACAGCAGGAAGAUCAUUGAGAUAUCACCUUUGCUUAUUCUUUGUAGGACUGAACGAACCCACCUCUUUCAGCCACUUUUUGUAGUGUGUGGCCUGGUGGCUGGCUGGUACACACCACCAGUGCCCAUGGAGAUGGCUGGUUGUUGAGAGCAUAACUAGGAAAAUUCAGGAUUAAGUGGAAGGAAGUGGUUUCAGAAGAAGGAAGUGAAUCAGACAUUAACUAUUCCUUUAGGAACUUGUGGAGACCUUAAUAACAAAGCCUAUACAACCACAGAGGUGCAGAAGGAGGAAUAAAGGCCUAUAAGCCUUAUUUCUCACAUCUGAAUGUCAUUCUGCAAAGCAAGACAAGCAUUGAAAGGCUGAACUUCUGUGAGCUCUGCUGGACAGAGGCAUCUUCUCGGUGUGUGGAGGAAG